rnacentral:rRNA from 1 species
ACUCCUACGGGAGGCAGCAGUGGGGAAUAUUGCACAAUGGGCGCAAGCCUGAUGCAGCCAUGCCGCGUGUGUGAAGAAGGCCUUCGGGUUGUAAAGCACUUUCAGUCGUGAGGAAGGUAGUGUAGUUAAUAGCUGCAUUAUUUGACGUUAGCGACAGAAGAAGCACCGGCUAACUCCGUGCCAGCAGCCGCGGUAAUACGGAGGGUGCGAGCGUUAAUCGGAAUUACUGGGCGUAAAGCGCAUGCAGGUGGUUUGUUAAGUCAGAUGUGAAAGCCCGGGGCUCAACCUCGGAAUUGCAUUUGAAACUGGCAGACUAGAGUACUGUAGAGGGGGGUAGAAUUUCAGGUGUAGCGGUGAAAUGCGUAUAGAUCUGAAGGAAUACCGGUGGCGAAGGCGGCCCCCUGGACAGAUACUGACACUCAGAUGCGAAAGCGUGGGGAGCAAACAGGAUUAGAUACCCUGGUA